UCCCGGUAUAAAUUGUUUUCUUUGUGAAUUAUGGAAAGCAUGUCAUAUGUGAACAUAAUACAGACAUUAUUUAUCUGGUAUAAAUUGUUUUCUUUGUGAAUUAUAGACAGCAUGUCAUAUGUGAACAUAAUACAGACAUUGUUUUCCUAGUAUAAAUUGUUUUCUUUGUGAAUUAUAGAAAGCAUGUCAUAUAAGAACAUAAUACAGACAAUAUUUGCCCAGAAUGAAUUGUUUGUUUUUUUGUUAAGUACAUGUAUGAAACAUAAGACAAAUCGCAAUAAAUCAAGAACAUUAUUGAGCUGGUCUUAUUGAAUUUAUUC
rnacentral:lncRNA from 1 species